ACGCCUAAUACAUGCAAGUCGAACGAAGUAGCAAUACUUAGUGGCAGACGGGUGAGUAACAUGUGGGUAUCUUCCCUUUGGUGAGGAAUAACACGAGGAAACUUGUGCUAAUACCUCAUAAGUCUUUACGGAGAAAGCUUUAUGCGCCAAUGGAUGAGCCCGCACUUGAUUAGUUUGUUGGUGGGGUAAUGGCCUACCAAGACAAUGAUCAAUAGCUGAUUUGAGAGGAUGAUCAGCCACAUUGGGACUGAGACACGGCCCAAACUCCUACGGGAGGCAGCAGUAGGGAAUCUUGCACAAUGGAGGAAACUCUGAUGCAGCGAUGCCGCGUGAGUGAAGAAGGCCUUUGGGUUGUAAAGCUCUUUCGUCGGGGAAGAAAAUGACUGUACCCGAAUAAGAAGGUCCGGCUAACUUCGUGCCAGCAGCCGCGGUAAUACGAAGGGACCUAGCGUAGUUCGGAAUUACUGGGCUUAAAGAGUUCGUAGGUGGUUAAAAAAGUUGGUGGUGAAAGCCCAGAGCUUAACUCUGGAACGGCCAUCAAAACUUUUUAGCUAGAGUAUGAUAGAGGAAAGCAGAAUUUCUAGUGUAGAGGUGAAAUUCGUAGAUAUUAGAAAGAAUACCAAUUGCGAAGGCAGCUUUCUGGAUCAUUACUGACACUGAGGAACGAAAGCAUGGGUAGCGAAGAGGAUUAGAUACCCUCGUAGUCCAUGCCGUAAACGAUGUGUGUUAGAUGUUGGAAAUUUAUUUUCAGUAUCGCAGCGAAAGCAAUAAACACACCGCCUGGGG
rnacentral:rRNA from 1 species